UACGUAGGGGGCAAGCGUUGUCCGGAUGUAUUGGGCGUAAAGAGCGUGUAGGCGGUUUUACAAGUCCGGUGUGAAAACUCGAGGCUCAACCUCGAGCUGUCGGUGGAAACUGUAAGGCUAGAGUCCGGAAGAGGAGAGUGGAAUUCCUGGUGUAGCGGUGAAAUGCGCAGAUAUCAGGAAGAACACCCGUGGCGAAGGCGGCUCUCUGGGACGGUACUGACGCUGAGACGCGAAAGCGUGGGGAGCGAACAGG
rnacentral:rRNA from 1 species